UUAUCUAUGUUUGAAAUUAUUACUUUUUUUCAGUUGAAAGCUCCUAUUUUAACAAGAAAUGGUUGUCUGAUAAAUCUUACGAAAACUAUGAUGAGCUGAAAGAAGCUGUCGUUAAAAUAUAUUCCGGCUAUAGAAUUGAAAGUAUGAAUUUCACUGUUAAUGGAGAAAGAACAGCUGAAGAAAAUAUUGCUGAUAUUGGUGCUUUAAAGAUAGCGUAUGAGGCUUAUUUGCUAUGGAAAUCAGACCAUCCUGAUGCUAAGAAGACACUGCCUAUACUAAAAAUGACAGAUUUACAGCUAUUUUUCAUGUCGUUUGCUCAGUCUUGGUGUUCU